AUACGGAGGGUGCAAGCGUUAUCGGGAAUCAUUGGGUUUAAAGGGUCCGCAGGCGGAUUAAUAAGUCAGUGGAGAAAUCCUCUCGCUCAACGAGAGAACUGCCAUUGAAACUGUUAGUCUUGAAUUCGGUCGAAGUAGGCGGAAUGUGUCAUGUAGCGGUGAAAUGCAUAGAUAUGACACAGAACACCGAUAGCGAAGGCAGCUUACUAGACCUGGAUUGACGCUCAUGGACGAAAGCGUGGGGAGCGAACAGGAUUAGAUACCCUAGUAGUCC
rnacentral:rRNA from 1 species